UACGGAGGGGGCGAGCGUUAUUCGGAAUUAUUGGGCGUAAAGGGCGCGUAGGCGGCUCUAUAAGUCAAAGGUGAAAUCCCUCGGCUCAACUGAGGAACUGCCUUUGAAACUGUUGGGCUUGAGGCCGGGAGAGGGUAGUGGAAUUCCCAGUGUAGCGGUGAAAUGCGUAGAUACUGGGAGGAACACCAGUGGCGAAGGCGGCUACCUGGACCGGUACUGACGCUGAGGCGCGAAAGCGUGGGUAGCAAACAGG
rnacentral:rRNA from 1 species